rnacentral:rRNA from 1 species
UACGGGGGGGGCAAGCGUUGUUCGGAAUUACUGGGCGUAAAGGGCUCGUAGGCGGCCAACUAAGUCAGACGUGAAAUCCCCAGGCUCAACCUGGGAACUGCGUCUGAUACUGGAUGGCUUGAAUCCGGGAGAGGGAUGCAGAAUUCCAGGUGUAGCGGUGAAAUGCGUAGAUAUUCGCAAGAACACCAGUGGCGAAGGCGGCUCACUGGCCCGAUACCGACGCUGAGGCACGAAAGCGUGGGGAGCAAACAGG